ACAGGUCUCUGCUAAACCGUAAGGUGAUGUAUAGGGGCUGACGCCUGCCCGGUGCUGGAAGGUUAAGAGGAGUGGUUAGCUUCUGCGAAGCUACGAAUCGAAGCCCCAGUAAACGGCGGCCGUAACUAUAACGGUCCUAAGGUAGCGAAAUUCCUUGUCGGGUAAGUUCCGACCCGCACGAAAGGCGUAACGAUUUGGGCACUGUCUCAACGAGAGACUCGGUGAAAUCAUAGUACCUGUGAAGAUGCAGGUUACCCGCGACAGGACGGAAAGACCCCGUGGAGCUUUACUGUAGCCUGAUAUUGAAAUUCGGCACAGCUUGUACAGGAUAGGUAGGAGCCUUUGAAACGUGAGCGCUAGCUUACGUGGAGGCGCUGGUGGGAUACUACCCUA
rnacentral:rRNA from 1 species